GAUGAACGCUGGCGGCGUGCCUAAUACAUGCCAGUCGAGCGAACAGACGAGGAGCUUGCUCCUCUGACGUUAGCGGCGGACGGGUGAGUAAAACGUGGAUAACCUACCUAUAAGACUGGGAUAACUUCGGGACACCGGAGCUAAUACCGGAUAAAAUAUUGAACCGCAUGGUUCAAUAGUGAAAGACGGUUUUGCUGUCACUUAUAGCUGGAUCCGCGUCGCAUUAGCUAGUUGGUAAGGUAACGGCUUACCAAGGCAACGAUGCGUAGCCGACCUGAGCGGGUGAUCGGCCACACUGGAACUGAGACACGGUCCAGACUCCUACGGGAGGCAGCAGUAGGGAAUCUUACGCAAUGGGCGAAAGCCUGACGGAGCAACGCCGCGUGAGUGAUGAAGGUCUUCGGCUCGGAAAACUCUGUUAUUAGGGAAGAACAAAUGUGUAAGUAACUAUGCACGUCUUGACGGUACCUAAUCAGAAAGCCACGGCUAACUACGUG
rnacentral:rRNA from 1 species